rnacentral:lncRNA from 1 species
AGCAAAUAGCUAAACUUAGACGGAUCAGGAGUUGCUUCGAUGUUUUCUUUCCUGACAGGCACACAUGCUUUUACAAAAAAAUUCUUCCAGAUUAGAGUGAAGUGUUAUGGAGUUUAGUACCUGUACUUAAAUCUUAAGUAAUCAAAAGACAAAAUAGUUAAGUCAAGCACUAUCCCUCUUGUCUAUACUUCACCUUUGUUCUAGAGUUUUUCAUAAGUUUUCAAAAUAAAACUCAGAGUUCCCAGCAAUGAUCUCUCAAGUCUCUCUAUAUGUGGUAUUUGUGGAUCCUUACCAUAAUGUCACUUACCUAUAGCUAAUAGAAUAUUUAAGUGGAGCUCAUAGGAGUGGAAAACAGCUCAUACAUAUGUUGUCUAAUCGAGCCAUGGAUCCAAAGGAACUCAGCAUAUAAUUAAAUCAAGAUGUGCAUGUGUGGUGGAGUAAAUGAUAGUGAUGGUGAAAAUACAAUAGUGUUAAUAAAUCUUAGUUCUCAUUGCUCCUCAUAUUGCUAUCUCUCCUCUUAUUUUUGAUCUUUGCUUUGGGAGAACAUGGGCUAUCUUUUUCUUUCUUCUUUCUUCUUCUUCUUCUUUUUUUCAGGUGGGUAAUAGAUACCCCUAAUUCUACUGUCGGACACUUGUCCAUUUUUUCCGCUCAAGUGGGCAUCUUUGUACCCCUAAUUCUACUUCGGACACUUGUCCAUUUUUACCUCUCGUCUCACUCUUUUUCUUUCUUUUUCGAGGUUCCCGGGCACUUGCCUCUUUUUAUUUCCUCGUAUAUAUUUUUGCAUAACCCAUGCCUCUUCUGCAUUGAAUCUUUUUAGAGAGAGAGAAUAACAAUAUUCGGGACAGUGAGUGAUAAUAUUUUUAGCAAUUUUAAUGAUUGAUGAUGAAUGCUAUGGUAGAUGUGUGCAAGUGAAUAUCUUAAUUUAACCACAUGAAAAGCUCCUAAGGGUCUACACAGCUCGAUCAAACUCAAUGUAAAUAUAGCAAAAUAUGUUAUAGCAAGUAUGGCUGUGGUAGGUAGUUUUGUAUACUAGGAACUCAUCAUGUGAUUUGUAAGUUUUCAAAAAUAAAUCUCUAGAACUUGGUGUAGUAGGAACAAGAUAAACAGUAGCUCAACUUAAUAUCAUGCCUUUCUCUUACCUAGACUUUAGUUUUAUGCUUCCCAAAGAUAGUAAUUUUAGUUUUAGUAAUUCCUGGAAGAAUUCUAAUAUAAAAGCUAGGUACUUGUAAGUAAGCAAACAGAGCAACUGUUCAUCAUUUCCAUCAUGCAUAUUUUUGGUCUUUUUAUUUUUUCUAGAGAUUAAACUUAGUAGAAAAAUAAAACACACUUAUCUACGCACUCUUUUUAUUUUGUUUUCAUGUUUAUAAAGUGCAGUAAAUUAAAGCAAGAAAAUAUUUAUUUGGUUUUCUAAGUUUUUUUCUUUUAAGAUAAAUUAAAUACUAAGACAGAAUAGAAUAAAUAAGAAAAGCAAAUAAAAACUUACUUGAUAAAUUUGGGAGGAACUCCCCCAAGCUGGAUGUUGACGUCGGUCUUACCCGAUAUUCCAGAACCGCAUCAUGGUUGUGAUGUUGUCGUUCAUUGUUGUUCUAUCUUGUCUCAGCUCUUGUACCGCAGCGGCAUGGUCCUGGUUCCAUUUUUGUUGCUCUUCCAGGAGUCUUCCAUGUUCUGCUUGCGUGUUCUGGAUGUCGAGGAGGGUGUUGUCGGUACGAGUGAAGAAAGCACUGGCCUCUUGAUAGUAGUCAUUCGUGAAGGCGUAGGAGGCGUCAGAGUAUCGUCCUGCAUCAAAUUGGGGUGGAGGUCUGGAUCCUAAAGCUCCAUAUGGAUCAGUGGAGUACCUGCCCGUAUGGAAAGGCGGGUUUGUCCACUGGUGAUCUUGGCUCUCCGGCCAUGUCUCUUCUGUUGGCUCUUGUGGUUGUGCAUGACGAGCCCAUGGGUCUCGAAGGACUCGUGGAUUGUAAUCGCAAUAAUGCAGGUGCGCUGCUUCUUCUGGUCCAGGGUCAGCUCCAUACCAAGUGCGUUCUCGGUGAGUGGUUAUCCUUUCAGAUGCCACUCGCUGUGGAGUUCUCUGGUUCACUGGUGUUGCUGCAAUCUCAAUCAAAAAGUUUUGCACAGAGUAGAGGCCAA